rnacentral:lncRNA from 1 species
GUCCAAUGCUAACAUAAUAAUAUACCUAUAUUAGUACGGUAUGUUAAACCAAACAUUGGAAAUAAUAUAAAAUAGACCAGAGGGUAUAAUCCUUAGUAGGUAUUAACAAUUGCCAGAAAACUCUUAGCAAUAUCAACACUAUUUAGACUAAAAGACUAUUCCUGACUAGCAUUUUCCGAACUGUCAUUAAAAAUAUAAAAGUUACCAUAUCAACAUAUUCCCUACAUAUUCCCGAAAUUGCAGGAAAUGAUGCGGAAGCAAAGAACUACCUGAGCUUGCAUCCAGAUAUUGCAUUCACUCCAAACUGCACUUCAUGUCUUUUAACAGAGCAACUUCCAUUACCCUGGCUCUGUAAGAGGGAUACUGAGUAACUUAUAUCAUCAGUCAGAGCCAAGAGUGGCUUCCCAACUAUAUAGCCAGGAUUCCCACUUCUAGGACUGGUGAGAGAAGCAGCUGUGCUCUGUUGAA